GCACGCCUGUUUGAGGAACGGUACCA
rnacentral:rRNA from 6 species